UAAUGGGGGAUAACGUUCCGAAAGGAACGCUAAUACCGCAUACGUCCUACGGGAGAAAGCAGGGGAUCUUCGGACCUUGCGUUAUCGGAUGAGCCUAGGUCGGAUUAGCUAGUUGGUGAGGUAAUGGCUCACCAAGGCUACGAUCCGUAACUGGUCUGAGAGGAUGAUCAGUCACACUGGAACUGAGACACGGUCCAGACUCCUACGGGAGGCAGCAGUGGGGAAUAUUGGACAAUGGGCGAAAGCCUGAUCCAGCCAUGCCGCGUGUGUGAAGAAGGUCUUCGGAUUGUAAAGCACUUUAAGUUGGGAGGAAGGGCUGUAGGCUAAUAUCCUGCAGUUUGACGUACCAACAGAAUAGCACCGGCAACUC
rnacentral:rRNA from 1 species